rnacentral:rRNA from 1 species
GUCCACGCCGUAAACGAUGGAUACUAGCUGUUGGGAGCAAUUUCAGUGGCUAAGCGAAAGUGAUAAGUAUCCCACCUGGGGAGUACGUUCGCAAGAAUGAAACUCAAAGGAAUUGACGGGGGCCCGCACAAGCGGUGGAGCAUGUGGUUUAAUUCGAUGAUACGCGAGGAACCUUACCAAGGCUUAAAUGUAGAUUGACAGAUUUGGAAACAGAUUUUUCUCGGACAAUUUACAAGGUGCUGCAUGGUUGUCGU